rnacentral:rRNA from 1 species
UACGGGGGGGGCAAGCGUUGUUCGGAAUUACUGGGCGUAAAGGGCUCGUAGGCGGCCAACUAAGUCAGACGUGAAAUCCCUCGGCUUAACCGGGGAACUGCGUCUGAUACUGGAUGGCUUGAGUUUGGGAGAGGGGUGUGGAAUUCCAGGUGUAGCGGUGAAAUGCGUAGAUAUCUGGAGGAACACCGGUGGCGAAGGCGGCAUCCUGGACCGGUAUUGACACUGAGGCGCGAAAGCCAGGGGAGCAAACGGG